UACGUAGGGUGCAAGCGUUAAUCGGAAUUACUGGGCGUAAAGCGUGCGCAGGCGGUUUUGUAAGUCUGUCGUGAAAUCCCCGGGCUCAACCUGGGAAUUGCGAUGGAGACUGCAAGGCUAGAAUCUGGCAGAGGGGGGUAGAAUUCCACGUGUAGCAGUGAAAUGCGUAGAGAUGUGGAGGAACACCGAUGGCGAAGGCAGCCCCCUGGGUCAAGAUUGACGCUCAUGCACGAAGCUGGGGAGCAAACAGG
rnacentral:rRNA from 1 species